GAUGAACGCUAGCGGCAGGCCUAACACAUGCAAGUCGAGGGAGAAGCCCUUUCGGGGGCCGAAACCGGCGCACGGGUGCGUAACGCGUAUGCAACCUACCUUUCACCGGGGGAUAGCCCGAAGAAAUUUGGAUUAAUACCCCAUAAUAUUAUUGGAUGGCAUCAUUUGAUAAUUAAAACUGCGGUGGUGAAAGAUGGGCAUGCGUCCUAUUAACUAGUUGGAGUGGUAACGGCACCCCAAGGCUACGAUAGGUAGGGGUCCUGAGAGGGAGAUCCCCCACACGGGUACUGAGACAGGGACCAGACUCAUACGGGAGGCAGCAGUGAGGAAUAUUGGUCAAUGGUCGGAAGACUGAACCAGCCAAGCCGCGUGCAGGAAGAAUGCCUUAUGGGUUGUAAACUGCUUUUAUAUGGGAAGAAUAAGGCGUACGUGUACGUUGAUGACGGUACCAUAUAAAUAAGCAUCGGCUAACUACGUG
rnacentral:rRNA from 1 species